UUUAAAAACAGGACUGGAAAGGACUCCCUAGGCCCCUAAGCCUAGCCCACACCCACCACCAUCACUACAGGCAACUAUAUCAUACAGUCCACCUCAUAAAUUUAGUGGGCUGUAUCUUAAAACUAAUCUGGCUCUUUGGCACCAGUAUUCCUAUUGGGAGGCUGUUCAAGAGCUUUACUCCUUUGACGGGCCAGCACCAAACAUUUGGAUGCUUAAUGCAUGGUGUGGUGGGGUGAAUUUCUGGAGGAUGCUUCAGAAAUAUGACUUAAGAAGGAUUUAAUGGUGCAGACACCUGGAGCUGGCCUGCUACACAGGAGUGAAUUUCAGCGUCUUGGGCUACGAGAUCCUUCAUUCUGUGCCUGGACUGUCUUAGCACCUGAAGAGGAUGACUUCACUGUCUAGUAUGUUGCAG